rnacentral:tRNA from 1 species
GGCCGUGUGGCGAAAUGGCAUCGCGUCUGACUACGAUUAUGAUUCGUUAAUCAGGAGAUUGCAGGUUCGACCCCUGUCUCGGUCA